AGAAGGAAGUCCAGGAUACAGAGAGAGUAGAGAUGGAACAAGAUGAUGUGGACAUUGGGGUCAAGAGUACAAGAGAUACGGGUGAACAGUGUGAUCCAGACCAACUAUUUCAAGAGAACAUGGCCUUGAAAGCUGAGCUGAGGAGGUUGCAAGGUCACAAGUGGUCUGUUGACAAGAUAAAAGAUGAUGACACCAAAACGAAAUUCUCCACUGGACUACCUAGCUUUGCAGUUUUUAUCUGAUUAUUCAACUACCUGGUGCCCAAGUGCAAACAGAUGGUGUACUGUAGAGGUUCUUCUGCUAACCAUGGAGAGAGGACACGACCUAGAGGCACAUUGUCACUGGAGUCUGUAGAUCAGUUUCUUACCACAAUGAUGAGAUUUAAAGUUGGAUUGUAUGUUGAAGAUAUUGCUGAAGGCUUUGGAAUGUCAGUUGGGACCUACUCGCAGUACUUCACAACCUGGGUGUGCCUUCUGUUCCAGGAGCUGAGAGCAUUGAACCCCUUUCCAUCUCGGGACAUCAUUCAAAGGAACAUGCCUUCUUGGUUUCAUUCUUUUCCAAAUUUAAGAGUUAUUUUAGAUUGUACAAAAAUAUUUGUUCAGAAAUCAAGCAUUUUUGUUAAUUAAAACUUGUCUUUUUCACAUUAUAAGCAUCACACAACUGUUAAAU